UAAGGAAUAUUGGUCAAUGGGCGCAAGCCUGAACCAGCCAUGCCGCGUGCAGGAAGACGGCCCUACGGGUUGUAAACUGCUUUUGCACGGGAACAACCCCCCGCUCGUGAGCGGGGCUGAGUGUACCGUGAGAAUAAGGAUCGGCUAACUCCGUGCCAGCAGCCGCGGUAAUACGGAGGAUCCAAGCGUUAUCCGGAUUUAUUGGGUUUAAAGGGUGCGUAGGCGGCGUGCUAAGUCAGUGGUGAAAGACGAUGGCUCAACCAUCGCAGUGCCGUUGAUACUGGCGCGCUUGAAUGCGGAUGAGGUAGGCGGAAUGUGGCAAGUAGCGGUGAAAUGCAUAGAUAUGCCACAGAACACCGAUUGCGAAGGCAGCUUACCAAGGCGCGAUUGACGCUGAUGCACGAAAGCGUGGGGAUCGAACAGG
rnacentral:rRNA from 1 species